CAGCAGCCGCCACGGGAAUACGGAGGGUGCGAGCGUUAAUCGGAAUUACUGGGCGUAAAGAGUGCGUAGGUGGUUAAUUAAGCUAUCUGUGAAAUUCCUGGGCUUAACCUGGGCAGGUCAGAUAAUACUGGUUAACUCGAGUAUGGGAGAGGGUAGUGGAAUUUCCGGUGUAGCGGUGAAAUGCGUAGAGAUCGGAAGGAACACCAGUGGCGAAGGCGGCUACCUGGCCUAAUACUGACACUGAGGCACGAAAGCGUGGGGAGCAAACAGGAUUAGAUACCCCAGUAGUCCCUGUCUCUUAUAC
rnacentral:rRNA from 1 species